GACGAACGCUGGCGGCGUGCUUAACACAUGCAAGUCGAACGGAAAGGCCUGCUUUCCCUUGUGGAUUGCGGGUACUCGAGUGGCGAACGGGUGAGUAACACGUGAGUGAUCUUCCCCCAACUUGGGUAUAAGCCUGGGAAACUGGGUCUAAUUCCCGAUAGGACUGCAGGGUGGUGCCUGUGGUGGAAGACGAUUUUCUAGUGGUUGGGGAUGAGCUCGCGGCCUAUCAGCUUGUUGGUGGGGUAAUGGCCUACCAAGGCGGCGACGGGUAGCCGGCCUGGGAGGGUGGACGGGCACAUUGGGACUGAGAUACGGCCCAGACGCCUACGGGAGGCAGCAGUGGGGAGUAUUGCACGAUGGGCGGAAGCCUGAUGCAGCGACGCCGCGUGGGGGAUGACGGCGUUCGGGUUGUAAACUCCUUUCGACCGAGAGGAAGCCACCUGGUUGGAAGGGUGGUGACGGUAGUGGUAGAAGAAGCACCGGCUAACUACGUG
rnacentral:rRNA from 1 species